rnacentral:lncRNA from 1 species
CGAAGUAGUAGUCUGGUGUGUGGGUGCAGCUGAAGUUUCAGAAGUGUCAGGUGCAAGAGUAGUUGGGGAAGAAUUAGGUGUGGGUGGGGCAGCUGUGGUCUCUGGUGGAGCUGAGGCGGAUGAUGGGUCUAGGGUAGUUGCAGAAGGUGUGGGUGGGGCAGCUGUGGUCUCUGGUGGAGCUGAGGAAGAUGGUGGAGCUGGUGUAGUUGCAGAAGGUGUGGGUGGGGCAGCUGUGGUGUCUUGUGGAGCUGGGGAAUUCACUGGUGCUAAUGUAGCUACAGAAGAGCUUGUGUUAACAUUUUCUCUUGAAGAUAUGGUGGUGGCAUUCUGGGGAAGAAAAGUCACACAGAUGGAAUUUGGGUUGUAGCCACUAAGGUAGGGUUGACCACACUGCUAUUUUUAUCUGGAUGUUUAGGUGGCUGGUGGAAGCUUAGGCCUACAGCGUUUGUGCAGACAUUUAUAGGACUUUCUAAUGAACGGCUUCUGGUGAGCUAGCA